rnacentral:misc_RNA from 1 species
CUGGAUCGAGCCCACGCCGGGGCAUACGCCGGGUCAUAUCAGCAUCCGUCUGUCGUCCUGCGGAUGCCAUGGUGUGCUGACCGGCGACGUCAUGCAUAGCCCCAUUCAGUGUACGUUCCCGGAUUGGGGCGCAGCUGGCGACGGGGACAAGGAGCUCGCGCGGAAAACCCGCAAGAGUUUCCUCGAUCGCUAUGCAGAAACCGAUACGCGGAUCAUGACGGCGCAUUUC